rnacentral:rRNA from 1 species
AACGUAGGAGACAAGCGUUAUCCGGAGUUACUGGGCGUAAAGGGCGUGUAGGUGGUAAUGUAAGUCUGGCGUGAAAUUUUUCGGCUUAACCGGGAAAGGUCGUCGGAGACUGCAUAACUAGAGGACGGUAGAGGCGUGUGGAAUUCCGGGUGUAGUGGUGAAAUGCGUAGAGAUCCGGAGGAACACCAGUGGCGAAGGCGCCACGCUGGGCCGUACCUGACACUGAGGCGCGAUAGCAUGGGGAGCAAACAGG